AGUGAACGCUGGCGGUAGGCCUAACACAUGCAAGUCGAACGGCAGCACAGUAAGAGCUUGCUCUUACGGGUGGCGAGUGGCGGACGGGUGAGGAAUACAUCGGAAUCUACUUUUUCGUGGGGGAUAACGUAGGGAAACUUACGCUAAUACCGCAUACGACCUACGGGUGAAAGCAGGGGAUCUUCGGACCUUGCGCGAUUGAAUGAGCCGAUGUCGGAUUAGCUAGUUGGCGGGGUAAAGGCCCACCAAGGCGACGAUCCGUAGCUGGUCUGAGAGGAUGAUCAGCCACACUGGAACUGAGACACGGUCCAGACUCUGACGGGAGGCAGCAGGGGGGAAUAUUGGACAAUGGGCGCAAGCCUGAUCCAGCCAUACCGCGUGGGUGAAGAAGGCCUUCGGGUUGUAAAGCCCUUUUGUUGGGAAAGAAAAGCAGCAGGUUAAUACCCCGCUGUUCUGACGGUACCCAAAGAAUAAGCACCGGCUAACUUCGU
rnacentral:rRNA from 1 species